ACGGCUGCAGUUCAUAUGAGUGGCAAUGCUACAACGGCCAAUGUAUUCAAGACUACCAAAGAUGCAACGGCUACUCAGACUGCUACUCUGGCGAAGAUGAAUACAACUGUCAAGACACGUUCCGCUGUUCUAACGGUGACGAGAUCCCCAUGAAGUAUACAUGUGACCGCAUCAUCGACUGCCAGUAUGGCGAAGAUGAGUGGCAGAACUGCAACGAUAAUGAAGUCAAAAGGGACAACAUUGAGUCGUAUCCGCGACGGGAGAAGAUUUUGCCGAAGGAGAAAAAUGAUGAGCAAGACCCGUAGACGUAUCAAGGAAUCAGCCGUCGUCUCGGACUUAUACCGGACAUGGAAUCGACCACGGUACACCGCAUUCUAAUGUCCAUUUGAAAUUUCUUAGAAUUAGUUUGGAUUUUAAGUUUCAUUUUGUUCCCAUUUUUGUUUCCGUUUUUGUUUCGUUCCUUUGAACCUUUUUUCCAAGUUUGAGUUAAUCACGAAUAUUAAUGAUUCAAAUUUUGUGGUUUCAAUUUCAUUAUUUUUGGGCAAUUCCACGGAGAAGCGGAUACGGCUGAAAAGUGGAUAAUUUAUUAAAUCUUUGGAACUGCAAGCAUCACAAUCUCGAAUGUGGUAUUAAAUACAAGGAGACAAAAUACCUCAUUACAACUCACCAAACUUGCUCCGCAUGGCUGUGUUAUAAGUCCUGGUGAGAUGUAUUCAUGGGAGGCAUACAUGUUGAUAUAGGAGCCUAAAGAGCGUUGCUUCAUCUCUUAAACUAACGAAACUCACCGUGGAAUUGCCCAUCUUGUUCCAAUUUUCAUUUUCGUUUUCGUUCCUUUAAGCUUUUUUGUUCCAAAUUCUUUUCGUUUUCGUUCCUUUAAGCUUUUUUGUUCCAAAUUCGAGUUAACCAAGAAUAUUUACUAAUUUGAAUUCUGAAGAAAUAACUCCCACAACUAUGGGAAAGAUGGUACAAUAAAGGGCAUGUCUUUACCAAAGCCCAUCUUAGGAAAAGAGUUUGCGCUGAACGGAACACUUUUUCAUAGAACCAUCGGGCUGUCAAAACAAGAAUCAAGUCAAAUAUAACAGUAAUGCUCUAUAAUCCUCUGUUCCCAAACCUCGCUCCGAAUCAGCCAAUAUUACAAACAUCUGGGGAGACUAUUAAGAAACGCUAGAACUGAAUACAAAAAUAUAUUCCGUCUUUUUGAAAUUGAUAUAGUCAUGAAAAUACUUCCAUCCAAAAAUAAGAUUAAACCACAGAUAAUACAGAUACUUUUAUGAGAAAAUCAUAGUUUAAGUUAUGGACUAAAAUAUGCACUUAGAUAUGGCCUAUAUCAUCAUGUCAAAAGCUUUAACUAUAAAAGACAGCCGUUUAUAGCGAAACAAAUAUACUGUACACUGCAAAAACUGCAGUGUUAAAUUUACACCAUUGGUAUCUAUAUAGGACCAUCUGAUGUUAAA